AUACUUACCUGGCAGGGGAGAUACCAUGAUUAUGAAGGUGGUUUUCCCAGGGCGAGUCUUGUCCAUUGCAUUCCAGAUGUGCUGGCCCCUGUGAUUUCUCCAAAUGUGGGAAACUCGAAUGCAUAAUUUGUAGUAGUGUGGGACUGCGUUUGCGUCCUCCACC